rnacentral:rRNA from 1 species
UACGUAGGGUGCGAGCGUUGUCCGGAAUUAUUGGGCGUAAAGGGCUCGUAGGCGGUUUGUCGCGUCGGGAGUGAAAUCCACUGGCUUAACUGGUGGCUUGCUUUCGAUACGGGCAGACUGGAGGUAUGCAGGGGAGAACGGAAUUCCUGGUGUAGCGGUGAAAUGCGUAGAUAUCGGGAGGAACACCUGUGGCGAAGGCGGCCCCCUGGUUGGAUACUGACGCUGAUACGCGAAAGCGUGGGGAGCAAACAGG